rnacentral:rRNA from 1 species
GAACGCUGGCGGCAGGCCUAACACAUGCAAGUCGAGCGGAAACGAGUUAACUGAACCUUCGGGGAACGUUAACGGCGUCGAGCGGCGGACGGGUGAGUAAUGCCUGGGAAAUUGCCCUGAUGUGGGGGAUAACCAUUGGAAACGAUGGCUAAUACCGCAUAAUAGCUUCGGCUCAAAGAGGGGGACCUUCGGGCCUCUCGCGUCAGGAUAUGCCCAGGUGGGAUUAGCUAGUUGGUGAGGUAAUGGCUCACCAAGGCGACGAUCCCUAGCUGGUCUGAGAGGAUGAUCAGCCACACUGGAACUGAGACACGGUCCAGACUCCUACGGGAGGCAGCAGUGGGGAAUAUUGCACAAUGGGCGCAAGCCUGAUGCAGCCAUGCCGCGUGUAUGAAGAAGGCCUUCGGGUUGUAAAGUACUUUCAGCAGUGAGGAAGGCGGAGUCGUUAAUAGCGGCCUCGUUUGACGUUAGCUGCAGAAGAAGCACCGGCUAACUCCGUGCCAGCAGCCGCGGUAAUACGGAGGGUGCGAGCGUUAAUCGGAAUUACUGGGCGUAAAGCGCAUGCAGGUGGUUUGUUAAGUCAGAUGUGAAAGCCCGGGGCUCAACCUCGGAAUUGCAUUUGAAACUGGCAGAC